UUUACGCGCCAUUAUCCGGACAGUGGUCGACAAUUUUAUAGGAAACAAAAAUUCUUACGGAGCAAAAAGUCGGUACAGCGUGCGAGAAUAGGACGUUCGGAUGGAGUCGAUUUCUCUGAAGCAGACGCAAAUAGCUGACAUCGGUCGCUCAGGCUUCAAACGUAGGCCGUAUAAAAUGGCUCAAUUGGACCACAUACACACAUUUGGGACCUGCUACUGGAAGAUAUGCUGGAGCCGUCUCGAGAGAAUGAGGAGGAGGCUCACCGAGGCGUCGGAACAAAGUGCCGAUGGUUGAAAGUGACACAGUGAGUGUAUCACAGUAUGUUUAAAAAAAAUCAAAGCCUUAUUAAUAAAUAGUUAGAUAAUAGCCAGAAAAAUAGUUUAUUUAUUAUAAUAGUUUUGGAAAGAAAAUAAAAAAAAACUAUUUCACCAUGAAAUUU